UAUAAGUAGAAACGAUCUCGAUCGUGAAACCGCGAACGGCUCAUUACAACAGCUGUAAUUUACUUGAUCUUGACGCAUCCUACAUGGAUAACUGUGGUAAUUCUAGAGCUAAUACAUGCACCAAAGCUCUGCCCCCUCGGGGAAGAGUGCAUUUAUUAGAGCAAAACCAGGCGGCCUCCGGGCCGUUCCUCGUUGACUCAGAAUAACUCUAGCUGAUCGCAUGGUCCUCGUACCGGCGACGUGUCUUUCAAGUGUCUGCCUUAUCAACUUUCGAUGGUAGUGUAUCUGACUACCAUGGUUGUGACGGGUAACGGAGGAUAAGGGUUCGACUCCGGAGAAGGGGCCUGAGAAAUGGCCACUACGUCUAAGGAUGGCAGCAGGCGCGCAAAUUACCCACUCUCGGCAAGAGGAGGUAGUGACGAAAAAUAACGAGACCGUUCUCACAAGAGGCCGGUCAUCGGAAUGGGUACAAUCUAAACCCUUUAACGAGUAUCUAUGAGAGGGCAAGUCUGGUGCCAGCAGCCGCGGUAAUUCCAGCUCUCAAAAUGCAUAGAACCAUUGCUGCGGUUAAAAAGCUCGUAGUUGGAUCUGCGCCGGCGGGCAAGUCCCCUCCGUGUGGGGCGGCACUUGCUCCCGCCGGCUAGUUGACGGAUGGGGCCGCGCGGGGCCGGUUCGCGGCCCGCUCGCUAGCCGUCGUUUUACUUUGAACAAAUCAGAGUGCUCAGCACAGGCGUCUCGCCUGAAUGUUCGUGCAUGGAAUAAUAGAAGAGGAUUUCGGUCCUAUUUUAUUGGUUUUGAGGACUGAGAUAAUGGUUAACAGAGACAAACGGGGGCAUUCGUAUUGCUGCGUGAGAGGUGAAAUUCUUGGACCGCAGCAAGACGGACAACAG
rnacentral:rRNA from 1 species